CGCAGCCGCGGUAACUCCAGCUCCAAUAGCGUAUAUUAAAGUUGUUGCAGUUAAAAAGCUCGUAGUUGAAUUUCGGGAUUCUACCGUUGGUCGGGCAAUUGUCUGUACUGGCGUGUGGAAUUUCUACCUUCUGGGGAACCAUCAUGUUAUUAAUUUAGCGUGGUGGGAAACCAGGACCUUUACCUUGAAAAAUUAGAGUGUUCAAAGCAGGCUUACGUCUGAAUACAUUAGCAUGGAAUAAUAAAAUAGGACGGUGGUCCUGUUUUGUUGGUUUCUGAAUCACCGUAAUGAUUAAUAGGGAUAGUUGGGGGCAUUAGUAUUCAAUUGUCAGAGGUGAAAUUCUUGGAUUUAUUGAAGACUAACUUCUGCGAAAGCAUUUGCCAAGGAUGUUUUCAUUAAUCAAGAACGAAAGUUAGGGGAUCGAAGACGAUCAGAUACCGUCGUAGUCUUAACCNUAAACUAUGCCGACUAGGGAUCGGACGAUGUUAAUUUUCUGGACUCG
rnacentral:rRNA from 1 species